UACGUAGGGUGCAAGCGUUGUCCGGAAUUAUUGGGCGUAAAGAGCUCGUAGGCGGUCUGUCGCGUCUGCUGUGAAAACCCGGGGCUCAACCCCGGGCCUGCAUUCGAUACGGGCAGACUAGAGUUCGGUAGGGGAGUCUGGAAUUCCUGGUGUAGCGGUGAAAUGCGCAGAUAUCAGGAGGAACACCGGUGGCGAAGGCGGGACUCUGGGCCGAUACUGACGCUGAGGAGCGAAAGCGUGGGGAGCGAACAGG
rnacentral:rRNA from 1 species